GACGAACGCUGACUGCUUGCCUAAUACCAGCAAUUCGAGCGAAGCGGCGGAUGGGUGAGUAACGCGUGGGUAACCUGCCCUUAAGUCUGGGAUACCAUUUGGAAACAGAUGCUAAUACCGGAUACUAAAGGAUGGACCUGCGAUGCAUUAGCUAGUUGGUAAGGUAACGGCUUACCAAGGCGAUGAUGCAUAGCAGAGUGUAGAGACUGAUGGGCCAAAUUGGGACUGAGACAAGGCCCAAACUCCUACGGGAGGCAGCAGUAGGGAAUCGUCCACAAUGGACGAAAGUCUGAUGGAGCAACGCCGCGUGAGUGAAGAAGGUUUUCGGAUUGUAAAGCUCUGUUGUUGGCGAAGAGGUAAUCAACCGGAAAGUAACGGUUAAUUACGUGUCAGCAGCCGCGGUAAUAC
rnacentral:rRNA from 1 species